UACGUAGGGCGCAAGCGUUAUCCGGAAUUAUUGGGCGUAAAGAGCUCGUAGGCGGUUUUGUCGCGUCUGCCGUGAAAGUCCGGGGCUCAACUCCGGAUCUGCGGUGGGUACGGGCAGACUAGAGUGAUGUAGGGGAGACUGGAAUUCCUGGUGUAGCGGUGAAAUGCGCAGAUAUCAGGAGGAACACCGAUGGCGAAGGCAGGUCUCUGGGCAUUAACUGACGCUGAGGAGCGAAAGCGUGGGGAGCAAACAGG
rnacentral:rRNA from 1 species